CUCAAAGUCCAAAAGAGUUCUCCGAAAAAGUAAAAAUAAUCAUGAUGCCUGUGGAAAAAUAUUUUUUUCUUCACCCUCACUCAACAAACCGCAAGGACUCUGCUAAUACAAACUAUGAUAGUGCAGCCUUUAUCUUCACUUUGAAGGAAUCGGUCCCUGGAGCUGUCGGCACAGUACCUCAGCCACACAUGGGAGGUCCACUGAAAUUUUGAAAAGCUGAAUUCCAAGACACACCCACAACUCCAGCUUGAUCCUGUGGAACAUCGUCUAGGUCCUCAGCUUCAGAUAUUUCAGACUCAGAAUCAAGACAAAGAAUUUCCUGCUCAUCUUCCUAAUCCUGUUCUUCA